GACGAACGCUGUCGGCAUGCUUAACACAUGCAAGUCGAACGGAAAGGCCCUGCUUUUGCGGGGUGCUCGAGUGGCGAACGGGUGAGUAACACGUGAGUAACCUGCCCUUGACUUUGGGAUAACUUCAGGAAACUGGGGCUAAUACCGGAUAGGAGCUCCUGCUGCAUGGUGGGGGUUGGAAAGUUUCGGCGGUUGGGGAUGGACUCGCGGCUUAUCAGCUUGUUGGUGGGGUAGUGGCUUACCAAGGCUUUGACGGGUAGCCGGCCUGAGAGGGUGACCGGCCACAUUGGGACUGAGAUACGGCCCAGACUCCUACGGGAGGCAGCAGUGGGGAAUAUUGCACAAUGGGCGGAAGCCUGAUGCAGCAACGCCGCGUGCGGGAUGACGGCCUUCGGGUUGUAAACCGCUUUCGCCUGUGACGAAGCGUGAGUGACGGUAAUGGGUAAAGAAGCACCGGCUAACUACGUGCCAGCAGCCGCGGUGAUACGUAGGGUGCGAGCGUUGUCCGGAUUUAUUGGGCGUAAAGGGCUCGUAGGUGGUUGAUCGCGUCGGAAGUGUAAUCUUGGGGCUUAACCCUGAGCGUGCUUUCGAUACGGGUUGACUUGAGGAAGGUAGGGGAGAAUGGAAUUCCUGGUGGAGCGGUGGAAUGCGCAGAUAUCAGGAGGAACACCAGUGGCGAAGGCGGUUCUCUGGGCCUUUCCUGACGCUGAGGAGCGAAAGCGUGGGGAGCGAACAGGCUUAGAUACCCUGGUAGUCCACGCUGUAAACGGUGGGUACUAGGUGUGGGGUCCAUUCCACGGGUUCCGUGCCGUAGCUAACGCUUUAAGUACCCCGCCUGGGGAGUACGGCCGCAAGGCUAAAACUCAAAGGAAUUGACGGGGCCCCGCACAAGCGGCGGAGCAUGCGGAUUAAUUCGAUGCAACGCGUAGAACCUUACCUGGGUUUGACAUGGAUCGGGAGUGCUCAGAGAUGGGUGUGCCUCUUUUGGGGUCGGUUCACAGGUGGUGCAUGGCUGUCGUCAGCUCGUGUCGUGAGAUGUUGGGUUAAGUCCCGCAACGAGCGCAACCCUUGUUCACUGUUGCCAGCACGUUAUGGUGGGGACUCAGUGGAGACCGCCGGGGUCAACUCGGAGGAAGGUGGGGAUGACGUCAAGUCAUCAUGCCCCUUAUGUCCAGGGCUUCACGCAUGCUACAAUGGCUGGUACAGAGAGUGGCGAGCCUGUGAGGGUGAGCGAAUCUCGGAAAGCCGGUCUCAGUUCGGAUUGGGGUCUGCAACUCGACCUCAUGAAGUCGGAGUCGCUAGUAAUCGCAGAUCAGCAACGCUGCGGUGAAUACGUUCCCGGG
rnacentral:rRNA from 1 species